UUCAUUACUCCACCUUUUUUUAUAUUAUGAAACAAACGAACUAAGGAAACACGGCAAAGAGGCAAAGAGGCAGAAUCUAUAGAGCAAAAUCUGUAGAGCAGCUAGGGUUAGAGACAAAGAGGCAGAAGUCCAACAAUUCUGAAAUUGGUGAAGAAAAUUUGAUUUUGGCGGGACAAAGAGACGGGAGCAAAAUAAUGAAGCAAGUUUAUCUUUCAAGCCAUCCUUACAUACCAUCUACUCCACAAAAAUUCUGCGUUUUCAUCUUCUAUAAUCAGAGUUUAGUGGGUCAUUUGCUGAAGAAGAUAUUGCAAGACAAGGCAUAACUGCACCAUCAAUUGCAGGAAAUGUAACUGCAAGCAGAGGACUGGAGGUUGCAGUUGCUAAUCUUCAGGAAUACUGCAAUGGUGGGAGAUAUAGUUGUUUUAAAAAGUAUCAUUAGGCCAACAAAAACAGUUGCAAACGGAAUACUUAAAAGCACAGACGCAUCUAAAGAAGUAAAAGGGAAACACUUAGGACCUGACUAUUGGGAGGUACAUGUUCAAGUGCCAAUCAAACC